rnacentral:tRNA from 1 species
GUACCGGUGAUGUAAGUUGUAGCAUCACUGCCGGAAAGCAGAAGGUGCGGGUUCGAGUCCCGCCUGGCGCA